GUGCUCGCUUCAGCAGCACAUGUACUAAAAUUGGAAGGAUACAGAGAAGAUUAGCAUGGCCCCUGCAUGAGAGUGACAUGCAAAUUCGUGAAGCAUUCCAUACUUUU